rnacentral:rRNA from 1 species
UACGUAGGGGGCAAGCGUUAUCCGGAAUUACUGGGUGUAAAGGGAGCGUAGACGGUAAUGUAAGUCUGGAGUGAAAGGCGGGGGCCCAACCCCCGGACUGCUCUGGAAACUAUGUUACUGGAGUGCAGGAGAGGUAAGCGGAAUUCCUAGUGUAGCGGUGAAAUGCUUAGAUAUCACGAAGAACUCCGAUUGCGAAGGCAGCCUGCUGGACUGUAACUGACGCUGAUGCUCGAAAGUGUGGGUAUCAAACAGG